AAGAAUUAGAAGAGAUCCCCAUACCACAAAAGUAUAAGUUGGACCAUUUUUUUUCCCGGCCAACAUUCCUUGUACAAUUAGGGAUGCAAACGGGGCGGAUCUCGGGAGCCCCGCCCCGCCUCCCGCCCCGACUACAAAAAGUCCGCCCUGCCUCCCACCCCGAAUCCGUGACGGGUUGAAAAUAGUUAUCCCAUAAUCCGCCCCGCCUUAUAACCCGCCUCCCGCCGGCGCCCCGAAUCCGCCCCGCCAAAUAGUAUUUAUUUUAUAAAUUAUAAUAUUAUUAAUAUUUUAUAAAUAUAAAUCAACAUAAUUUUUAAUAUUAAUUGAUAAUGUUAUGAAGUUAUAUAUAAUUAAUAAUAUUAACUAUAAAAAUCAAAAAUAUCAAUCACAACUCGCAACAAAAUUCAAAAAUUUUAAAUACAUACAUAUGGAAAAAUUUUAAAGACAUACAUUCGGGGCGGAUUCGGGGCGGAUCAUGGCGGGGUGGAUUCGGGGCGG
rnacentral:lncRNA from 1 species